GGUUAUGACCUUUAGUUGUGUGCAAGGCCGAGAGGAGCCUCGUGUACUAUUUCUUGAGUUUAAGGCCAAGCGGAGGCGGGUACAUUAUUUGUUGAGAAUUGUAUGUGUUGUUACGCUCUGUGAAGCGUAUUUGAAUGUAUUCUGGCUAGCUGACAGGUACCCGAUUGGCCUAUUUACAAGGAAAACUCAGGCAAAAUUUUUGAAAAUUUAGGGAGUUAGUCAAAUUUAAGGCCUCAUGGUGGGUCAAGUGAGACAGAAGUUGAAUAAAUGAUCUUAAGAAUGUCUUGGGUUAUUAUGAAAUGGAAAACAAGGUCCAAGCAUCAUUCGAGGACGAAUCAUCCUAAGUGGGAGAUAUUGUGACACCUCGAGAAAAUUUUAAAUUCAGUAUAACCUUGGUCUAUAGAGAGAGUUUUGGUAUAUUAGCAAAAUGGUGUAGAAUAUAUUUCUCUAGUGAAUUUGUAUUGAAGUUGCAGGAAAAAUAGACAUUUUGGAAUAUUGUGAUAUACAUUUUAAAUGUAUAAAGUUGCGGGGUCUUUUAAAGUAAAGUGGAGUAGGGGAACAAUAUAAGAGGAUUUUUGGUUUGGGAAAAGUCAAGUACGUGGUGUUAGUACUUAAGAAAAAGGGAAAUUUACCUAUGCUGCUAGUGCUUUGUAGAAAAAUAGGAAUAGAAAGAGGUGAAGGAAAAGUUGCAAGGAAAGAAAUACCAACUACUAUUGCUCCUUUGCUUUCUUCUUUUCCUACAAAUUAAGAAACCAAAUUCACCCUUAAGAGAAAACAUAAGGCGACAGCUGAGAGUACUGGUACUCGGCUUCUUCUCCUUCUCUUGGUAUCCGAGAAAUCACUAGAAGAGGAAGGGAGGAAACAAUUCUUACGAUAACUUUGAAAUAAUCUUUGAGAGGUGAUUUCAAUAACCGAAAGUUGGAAUUGAAUUCCUAGAGUUAAUUGAUUGACUAGUGGAUGCAUGGAAAUAGUGAUUGGGAGAAUAAGGGCUUUCUUUUUGCGGGCUAAAUUGUUUGAGGCUCGGGAAGCUAUCAUAGCUAGUUAAGCAUUAAGAUUCCGAUCUUCCUGAUAGCAGACGCCCACGUUAGGCUCUUUUGCCGUUUCCAGUUGAUAUUUUGCUAAGCUCCAACUCUCUCUGGAGUCAGUUUAUGCCUAGUAUUUUUGAUUGGGUACA